UUGAACGCUGGCGGCAUGCCUUACACAUGCAAGUCGAACGGCAGCACGGGUGCUUGCACCUGGUGGCGAGUGGCGAACGGGUGAGUAAUACAUCGGAACACGUCCUGUAGUGGGGGAUAGCCCGGCGAAAGCCGGAUUAAUACCGCAUACGAUCUACGGAUGAAAGCGGGGGACCUUCGGGCCUCGCGCUAUAGGGUUGGCCGAUGGCUGAUUAGCUAGUUGGUGGGGUAAAGGCCUACCAAGGCGACGAUCAGUAGCUGGUCUGAGAGGACGACCAGCCACACUGGGACUGAGACACGGCCCAGACUCCUACGGGAGGCAGCAGUGGGGAAUUUUGGACAAUGGGCGAAAGCCUGAUCCAGCAAUGCCGCGUGUGUGAAGAAGGCCUUCGGGUUGUAAAGCACUUUUGUCCGGAAAGAAAUCCUUGGCCCUAAUACGGUCGGGGGAUGACGGUACCGGAAGAAUAAGCACCGGCUAACUACGUG
rnacentral:rRNA from 1 species